rnacentral:rRNA from 1 species
UACGAAGGGGGCUAGCGUUGCUCGGAAUCACUGGGCGUAAAGGGUGCGUAGGCGGGUUUUUAAGUCAGAGGUGAAAUCCUGGAGCUCAACUCCAGAACUGCCUUUGAUACUGAAAGUCUUGAGUAUGGGAGAGGUGAGUGGAACUGCGAGUGUAGAGGUGAAAUUCGUAGAUAUUCGCAAGAACACCAGUAGCGAAGGCGGCUCACUGGCCCAUAACUGACGCUGAGGCACGAAAGCGUGGGGAGCAAACAGG